GUGCCCAACUUGAUUGCUGUGAAACAUAAGCUAGAGGAGCAGCGAUCACCACUCAUGAAACAUCUCCUUCUUUACUUGAAGGAGCUCAUGAAGGAUUAUAAAAAUGAGGUGAGGGAGAUCCUGGCAGGAGACAAACAACUAGCAAAGGAGAUAGAAUUUGACUUAAGGCGGUUUGACAAAGAGCAGUGGGAAGAGAAGAAUCAGCGUGAAGAGAAUGAUCAAAGAAUCCCAAGUAGAGAGAUCAGUAAUAAAGGCAGUAACCAUGAUACGUUGGGUUCUUCACCAGUUUUGAGAGAGAGAAGGUUAUCAGUAGUAGAGGAGCAAGAUACUUCAAGACCUUCAACAACCUGUCUACCUCCACCAGCAAAUAUUAAAGAGCUGCACACAAGGGCUCAAGUCUUUAGUAAGGAUGCUACUGCUAGAAGGAAAUCAGUAAGUGCUAGAAGGAACUGCUAGAAGGAAAUCAGUAAGUGUUGGAAGGAGAAGAGGAGACAGUGGAAUCAGCAAAAGAUGAAAGCAGGGAAGGACCAAUAAAAAACAAAACACGGUCAGAAUUACUCAGAGCCAUCAGCACUCCUUCUACUGAGAGAACACUAAUUAAUAACUUGACUUUUGUCAAUGAAACUCAAGAAUUGAGUGCCAUUAACAUAAAUUCUACAGUUGCUUCAGAAAAAAGUAAUGCUGGGGAGCUGCAGCUUCACUCUACCAGCCCAACAUCUCAUAAACAUGAAUCUGACUUCAGCCGCCUCCGCAAAACUUCAAAAGACAUGCAGCAAGAUCCUAUCGAGUCAAGGAAAGAUAAAGCAAAAGGUAAAAAGAAGGUCACAGGACAAUUGUUUGAAUCAUUUGAAGCAGAAAGUUCUCUUAGUGAGGCAGAAUCCACUUGUGAGAGUGAUGUUUCAGCAGUUACAGCUGUUAAGAGAAAUGAAGGGAAGAGAACUCGGCAUGUGGCUUCCCUAAGUCCUGACCCAGAAAAAAACAAAUCUAACACACAGACUGAAAGACCUAAACUUAAGAAACACAAAAAAAAGACAUAAAAGUGUACAUGCUGUUUAUGUUAUCUGUAAUUUUAAAGUUGCAAAGGCUUCAUUUCUGUUGUAAAGCAUAAAUAAUCUUAUGCAUAAAAAUUGUAUUAUAUAUUAAAUUUCGCCUUUGGUAGCAUUCAUUUACUGUGUUUCAUUAUUCUAGUGAGUUUAUAAAUAUUUUUUACUGCAUAAA